CGGCGCGUCGUAGAGACACCGCCGUCGACACGGUCCCACGUUCGGGACGUGGGGGUCGCAGGUUCAAAUCCUGCCACUCCGACCA
rnacentral:tRNA from 1 species